AACUUUUAGCAACGGAUCUCUUGGUUCUGGCAUCGAUGAAGAACGCAGCGAAAUGCGAUAAGUAAUGCGAUUUGCAGAAUUCCAGUGAGUCAUCGAAUCUUUGAAGGAACAUUGCGCCCUUUGGUAUUCCGAAGGGCAUGCCUGUUCGAGCGUCAUUAUCACCCCUCAAGCCCCCGGCUUGGUGUUGGACGGUUUGGUUGAGGCCCCUUGCGGGUUCCUACCCCUCCCAAAGACAAUGACGGCGGCCUCGUUGGACCCCCGGUACACUGAGUUCUUCACGGGACACGUAUCGGACACAUGGGUUUACGGGACACGGUCUGCCUCCCCUCAGGGAGAAUAUUUCUUAAGGUUGACCUCGGAUCAGGUAGGGAUACCCGCUGAACUUAAGCAUAUCAAUAAGCGGAGGGU
rnacentral:misc_RNA from 1 species